rnacentral:rRNA from 1 species
CCUACGGGAGGCUGCAGUGGGGAAUAUUGGACAAUGGGCGAAAGCCUGAUCCAGCAAUGCCGCGUGAGUGAUGAAGGCCUUAGGGUUGUAAAGCUCUUUUACCAGGGAUGAUAAUGACAGUACCUGGAGAAUAAGCUCCGGCUAACUCCGUGCCAGCAGCCGCGGUAAUACGGAGGGAGCUAGCGUUGUUCGGAAUUACUGGGCGUAAAGCGUGCGUAGGCGGUGACUCAAGUCAGAGGUGAAAGCCUGGAGCUCAACUCCAGAACUGCCUUUGAAACUAGGUCGCUAGAAUCUGGGAGAGGUGAGUGGAAUUCCGAGUGUAGAGGUGAAAUUCGUAGAUAUUCGGAAGAACACCAGUGGCGAAGGCGGCUCACUGGACCAGAAUUGACGCUGAGGCACGAAAGCGUGGGGAGCAAACAGGAUUAGAUACCCCAGUAGUC